rnacentral:rRNA from 1 species
UACGUAGGGCGCAAGCGUUGUCCGGAUUUAUUGGGCGUAAAGAGCUCGUAGGCGGUCUGUCGCGUCGGCUGUGAAACCCCGAGGCUCAACCUCCAGCCUGCAGUGGGUACGGGCAGACUAGAGUGCGGUAGGGGAGAUUGGAAUUCCUUGGUGUAGCGGUGGAAUGCGCAGAUAUCAGGAGGAACACCGAUGGCGAAGGCAGAUCUCUGGGCCGUAACUGACGCUGAGGAGCGAAAGCAUGGGGAGCGAACAGG